CCUUGCACAUGGCAUUGAGCUCAGCACACGACGAUUUCAGUUCCUUGAGCAAACUCAGAUAAAAUGAGGCGGAAAAUGUUUCUAAAAUAAGGUUUUCUAGGGAGUGUUAGUAAAAUGUGACACUAUCCUAGUGUAAUCCAACAGGUAGGAGGUUGGAUGGCCUCCCAGGCCUUCAACACACUGUAUAUUUGAAUGUGCACAAGAGGAAAUGCUCUAAAGACAUGCAUUUUCUUUUACCUUUUAGACUAAUCCAGUGGAAAAACUAUAUUCGACCCAAGGAUCUGUAUCCACACAGUUUGACAAUAAUUUACUUCUUUCUGGAAGCGAUGAGCACAGUGUAAUUCCUGAGAAAUUUUAAUAAUGAUAUUUUAAUUAUAAUUAAGUGAAACCUAGCAAAGUUGGCUGUAUCUGGAGGAACUCCACUGUGGGAAACAGAUUCUUAAGAUGGCUGAAGAUGGCUGUUUCGCUGCAUCAAUGUGUGACUUUCAAUAGAUGAUCGAAGAUGGCUGUUUGGCACUGUGUCUGAAUUAAGCCAGAAGGAAGGAGGAAGAAGAUGAAGAAAAGGCAUGCCUCUACCCCUUAGGACCACGUCUCUGAAGCUGUAUACAACAUUUCUGCUCUCAUAUAAUUGGGCAGAACUUAGUCAUAGAGCUACAUGUAGUUGCAAGGGAAGCUAUAUGCACUAAUGUGCUUAGUUAAACAUUGGGAUUCUCUUACUAAGGUACAUAAGGAGAACAUAUAUUUGGAGAGGCAACUAUCCAUCUCUGCCACAAGAUCUGAAACAAUUAUUGUGAGACUAUAAACAUAGAAAAAAGCUCCAGAGAUCAGGGGGAAGUCAGAAAUUAUUUGGGAUUCCAGUGAAUGGAAUGUUGACCAUAAAUGAGAAAUGAUGCUUGGGAUAAUUCCUAGCGAGCAUUGGCUUUUAGAGUUGGGAUUGAAGUCAACCAGCUAUAAAGAGCAAGACUGGGUGGGGUACUUUGAAAUGUCAUAUCAUUGUGUAUGGCUUUUGUGGUAGUUACUGCUUCUUUUUAGAAUAAUUCUCAUAACUAGGUAGAAAGCUCACCUUUGAAACUUCUGCAUGCCUAAUAAAAUGCUUCACUCACACCCAGUUGUUUUACUCAAGCGAGUAGUUUUAUGGUAACUGCAUUUGGGGUAACAGUCUUACAGAAGAGUUAACACAAUGGGCAGAUUCCAGGUGUGCUGUCAUUUGGAGGAGGCAAAUCCAUACAGACAAGAAGUAGAUUAGUGGUUGCCUAGAGCUGGAGGAGGGUAGGGAUAAGGAAUGGAUUACUACUGGGACUGGGUUUCUUUUUGGGGUGAUGAAAAUUUUCUAAAAUUGAUUGUGGUGAUGGUUGCCUAACUCUGUGAAUAGCAAUGAAUUGUGCUAUUGUACACUUUAGGUAAAUGGUAUGGUAUAUGAGUUAUAUCCCCAAUAAAGCUGUUAAAAAAGAAUGAGAAAGACCGAGUGACUUGCCAAG
rnacentral:lncRNA from 10 species